GGUCAAGUGAAGAAGCGCAUACGGUGGAUGCCUUGGCAGUCAGAGGCGAUGAAAGACGUGGUAGCCUGCGAAAAGCUUCGGGGAGUCGGCAAACAGACUGUGAUCCGGAGAUGUCUGAAUGGGGGAACCCAGCCAUCAUAAGAUGGUUAUCUUGUACUGAAUACAUAGGUGCAAGAGGCGAACCAGGGGAACUGAAACAUCUAAGUACCCUGAGGAAAAGAAAUCAACCGAGAUUCCCUUAGUAGUGGCGAGCGAACGGGGACCAGCCCUUAAGUUGUAUUGAGAUUAGCGGAACGUUCUGGAAAGGACGGCCAUAGUGGGUGAUAGCCCUGUACGCGAAAAUCCCUUUGCAAUGAAAUCGAGUAGGACGGGGCACGAGAAACCUUGUCUGAAUAUGGGGGGACCAUCCUCCAAGGCUAAAUACUACUGACUGACCGAUAGUGAACCAGUACCGUGAGGGAAAGGCGAAAAGAACCGCGGAGAGCGGAGUGAAAUAGAUCCUGAAACCGUAUGCGUACAAGCAGUGGGAGCCCACUUUGUUGGGUGACUGCGUACCUUUUGUAUAAUGGGUCAGCGACUUAUUUUCAGUGGCGAGCUUAACCGAAUAGGGGAGGCGUAGCGAAAGCGAGUCUUAAUAGGGCGUCUAGUCGCUGGGAAUAGACCCGAAACCGGGCGAUCUAUCCAUGGGCAGGUUGAAGGUUGGGUAACACUAACUGGAGGACCGAACCGACUACCGUUGAAAAGUUAGCGGAUGACCUGUGGAUCGGAGUGAAAGGCUAAUCAAGCUCGGAGAUAGCUGGUUCUCCUCGAAAGCUAUUUAGGUAGCGCCUCAUGUAUCACUGUAGGGGGUAGAGCACUGUUUCGGCUAGGGGGUCAUCCCGACUUACCAAACCGAUGCAAACUCCGAAUACCUACAAGUGCCGAGCAUGGGAGACACACGGCGGGUGCUAACGUCCGUCGUGAAAAGGGAAACAACCCAGACCGUCAGCUAAGGUCCCAAAGUCAUGGUUAAGUGGGAAACGAUGUGGGAAGGCUUAGACAGCUAGGAGGUUGGCUUAGAAGCAGCCACCCUUUAAAGAAAGCGUAAUAGCUCACUAGUCGAGUCGGCCUGCGCGGAAGAUGUAACGGGGCUCAAACCAUGCACCGAAGCUACGGGUAUCAUCUUUUGAUGAUGCGGUAGAGGAGCGUUCUGUAAGCCUGUGAAGGUGAGUUGAGAAGCUUGCUGGAGGUAUCAGAAGUGCGAAUGCUGACAUGAGUAACGACAAUGGGUGUGAAAAACACCCACGCCGAAAGACCAAGGUUUCCUGCGCAACGUUAAUCGACGCAGGGUUAGUCGGUCCCUAAGGCGAGGCUGAAAAGCGUAGUCGAUGGAAAACAGGUUAAUAUUCCUGUACUUCUGGUUAUUGCGAUGGAGGGACGGAGAAGGCUAGGCCAGCCUGGCGUUGGUNNUUUAGAACACGAAGUGGUUGAUGCCAUGCUUCCAAGAAAAGCUUCUAAGCUUCAGGUAACCAGGAACCGUACCCCAAACCGACACAGGUGGUUGGGUAGAGAAUACCAAGGCGCUUGAGAGAACUCGGGUGAAGGAACUAGGCAAAAUGGCACCGUAACUUCGGGAGAAGGUGCGCCGGUGGAGGUGAAGCAUUUACUGCGUAAGCCCCUGCCGGUCGAAGAUACCAGGCCGCUGCGACUGUUUAUUAAAAACACAGCACUCUGCAAACACGAAAGUGGACGUAUAGGGUGUGACGCCUGCCCGGUGCCGGAAGGUUAAUUGAUGGGGUUAGCGCAAGCGAAGCUCUUGAUCGAAGCCCCGGUAAACGGCGGCCGUAACUAUAACGGUCCUAAGGUAGCGAAAUUCCUUGUCGGGUAAGUUCCGACCUGCACGAAUGGCGUAACGAUGGCGGCGCUGUCUCCACCCGAGACUCAGUGAAAUUGAAAUCGCUGUGAAGAUGCAGUGUAUCCGCGGCUAGACGGAAAGACCCCGUGAACCUUUACUAUAGCUUUGCACUGGACUUUGAAUUUGCUUGUGUAGGAUAGGUGGGAGGCUUUGAAGCGUGGACGCCAGUCUGCGUGGAGCCAACCUUGAAAUACCACCCUGGCAACUUUGAGGUUCUAACUCAGGUCCGUUAUCCGGAUCGAGGACAGUGUAUGGUGGGUAGUUUGACUGGGGCGGUCUCCUCCUAAAGAGUAACGGAGGAGUACGAAGGUGCGCUCAGACCGGUCGGAAAUCGGUCGUAGAGUAUAAAGGCAAAAGCGCGCUUGACUGCGAGACAGACACGUCGAGCAGGUACGAAAGUAGGUCUUAGUGAUCCGGUGGUUCUGUAUGGAAGGGCCAUCGCUCAACGGAUAAAAGGUACUCCGGGGAUAACAGGCUGAUACCGCCCAAGAGUUCAUAUCGACGGCGGUGUUUGGCACCUCGAUGUCGGCUCAUCACAUCCUGGGGCUGAAGCCGGUCCCAAGGGUAUGGCUGUUCGCCAUUUAAAGUGGUACGCGAGCUGGGUUUAGAACGUCGUGAGACAGUUCGGUCCCUAUCUGCCGUGGACGUUUGAGAUUUGAGAGGGGCUGCUCCUAGUACGAGAGGACCGGAGUGGACGAACCUCUGGUGUUCCGGUUGUCACGCCAGUGGCAUUGCCGGGUAGCUAUGUUCGGAAAAGAUAACCGCUGAAAGCAUCUAAGCGGGAAACUUGCCUCAAGAUGAGAUCUCACUGGAACCUUGAGUUCCCUAAAGGGCCGUCGAAGACUACGACGUUGAUAGGUUGGGUGUGUAAGCGCUGUGAGGCGUUGAGCUAACCAAUACUAAUUGCCCGUGAGGCUUGACCAU
rnacentral:rRNA from 1 species